UUUCCCUUUUUCACGUAGUUCAUCAUGAUUGUUUUGAUUUGCAUUAGUUUAUAUGUUGACUAAGAGCAUAUUUACACUAGUCAUCUUUCCCUAUGUCUCAAUGCAGGUAGGGUUAUAUAUUUCUGUAUACACGAUAUGACCCAUAAGUUGCUUCUCUCUCAUUCCUUUCUUUUUGCGCAUGUCCAUCUACAUGCAAUUGUAACUGUGUUUCUUUCUUCUGUAGUUGUGUAUAUUUUUGAAUCACAAGUUCAACGAUUCCAUGAAAUUCAGAUAUGGAUGUUUCGUGAUCAGGAAGUGAUGAAGGAUUGAUUAUUAAUCGAUCAUGGCCACUGGCUUAAUUUCCUCAAAUAUUACAUUAGUAGUUAACUGAACUUGUUGAGGGAUAGUUAACGGCAAUCAGCUGAUUUUGUGGUAGGUUUUGAUUCUUCUUUCAUAUAUUUAAUGGUGUUAUGGAUCCCACUGAUUAAAGAGCAUAUCUGUAUUAUUAUUUUUAUAUGUAUGUCAGUAUAGCUUAAAUAUUGCCAUACCUAUUAAAAGGGCUAGGGGAACAUGUAGCUUUCAUAAGUUGUCACCAAUUUUUCCGUUUGCUUCAUCUCCAUGGAGUUGGGAUCCAUACAAAGUAACUUGCCAAGCUAGCUACCUUUGUUUUUUACUCUUUUCCCUAUUCGAGGAUAGCAAUUAAAUUCAAGACUUUAUUUCUAAUAGAAAAAGAGCAAUGAUUUUGCACCAUAUAUAUAAUAGCCUCGGGAUUU
rnacentral:lncRNA from 1 species